rnacentral:rRNA from 1 species
UACGUAGGUGGCAAGCGUUGUCCGGAAUUAUUGGGCGUAAAGCGCGCGCAGGUGGUUUCUUAAGUCUGAUGUGAAAGCCCACGGCUCAACCGUGGAGGGUCAUUGGAAACUGGGGAACUUGAGUGCAGAAGAGGAAAGUGGAAUUCCAAGUGUAGCGGUGAAAUGCGUAGAGAUUUGGAGGAACACCAGUGGCGAAGGCGACUUU